rnacentral:misc_RNA from 1 species
AACAAGGCGUACCUGCGGACCUGCGGAGGGAUCAUUACCGAGUGUGAACCCCCCCGUAAAAAAGAGGGGUUACCUCCCGUCCUUUGCUGGGAACCCCUUUCCAACUUGGAAGGAGGUUGUUUUCAGACCCUUCUGCUUCGGUGGGGUAACCCACCGGAACAACCUCAAAAAUAUUCUCAAUUCAAAACCGUUCAGUCCGAGAACUUUUUUGAAAAGCGAAAAAACUUUCAGCAAUGGAUC